rnacentral:lncRNA from 1 species
UGGUUCCGUCUCUUCUCCCUCUGGGCACCUUCCUUAGCUGUGAGAGAAUGGUUUUUGUGGAUACUAAGAAGCGGAGAGAUGUGACUAUGUGAGACAGGCUGAUGUGAGAGAGGCGGAGCUAUCAAAAUUUGCCUCUAAAAAUGGUUUUUGAUCUGGUCCACCUCUAGAAAUUGAAAUUAAUUAGAUGCCUCUAGAAAGUCCAGUUGUCUCUAGAAACGCCC